AAUACAUACCCGGGUAGUCCACGCCGUAAACGAUGAGUGCUAAGUGUUAGAGGGUUUCCGCCCUUUAGUGCUGCAGCUAACGCAUUAAGCACUCCGCCUGGGGAGUACGGUCGCAAGACUGAAACUCAAAGGAAUUGACGGGGGCCCGCACAAGCGGUGGAGCAUGUGGUUUAAUUCGAAGCAACGCGAAGAACCUUACCAGGUCUUGACAUCCUCUGACAACUCUAGAGAUAGAGCGUUCCCCUUCGGGGGACAGAGUGACAGGUGGUGCAUGGUUGUCGUCAGCUCGUGUCGUGAGAUGUUGGGUUAAGUCCCGCAACGAGCGCAACCCUUGAUCUUAGUUGCCAGCAUUUAGUUGGGCACUCUAAGGUGACUGCCGGUGACAAACCGGAGGAAGGUGGGGAUGACGUCAAAUCAUCAUGCCCCUUAUGACCUGGGCUACACACGUGCUACAAUGGAUGGUACAAAGGGCUGCAAGACCGCGAGGUCAAGCCAAUCCCAUAAAACCAUUCUCAGUUCGGAUUGUAGG
rnacentral:rRNA from 1 species